rnacentral:rRNA from 1 species
CAGUCGCCACGGGAAUACGAAGGGGGCUAGCGUUGUUCGGAAUUACUGGGCGUAGAGGGCGCGUAGGCGGCCAUUCAAGUUAGAUGUGAAAGCCCUGGGCUCAACCUAGGAACUGCAUUUGUGACUGGCGAGCUAGAGUAUGGCAGAGGGGGGUAGAAUUCCACGUGUAGCAGUGAAAUGCGUAGAGAUGUGGAGGAAUACCGAUGGCGAAGGCAGCCCCCUGGGAUAACACUGACGCUCAUGCACGAAAGCGUGGGGAGCAAACAGGAUUAGAGACCCGCGUAGUCCCUGUCUCUUAUAC